GACGAACGCUGGCGGCGGGCUUAACACAUGCAAGUCGAACGGAAAGGCCCUGCUUUUGUGGUGUGCUCGAGUGGCGAACGGGUGAGUAACACGUGAGUAACCUGCCCUUGACUUUGGGAUAACUUCAGGAAACUGGGGCUACUACCGGAUAGGAGCUCCUGCUGCAUGGUGGGGGUUGGAAAGUUUCGGCGGUUGGGGAUGGACUCGCGGCUGAUCAGCUUGUUGGUGGGGUAGUGGCUUACCAAGGCUUUGGCGGGUAGCCGGCCUGAGAGGGUGACCGGCCACAUUGGGACUGCGAGACGGCCCAGACGCCUACGGGGGGCAGCAGUGGGGAAUAUUGCACAAUGGGCGGAAGCCUGAUGCAGCGACGCCGCGUGCGGGAUGACGGCCUUCGGGGUGUAAACCGCUUUCGCCUGUGACGAAGCGUGAGUGACGGUAAUGGGUAAAGAAGCACCGGCUAACUACGUG
rnacentral:rRNA from 1 species